rnacentral:rRNA from 1 species
GCACCCCGCUGACGAGCGGCGGACGGGUGAGUAAUGCUUAGGAAUCUGCCCAGUAGUGGGGGACAACAGUCGGAAACGGCUGCUAAUACCGCAUACGCCCUACGGGGGAAAGCAGGGGAUCUUCGGACCUUGCGCUAUUGGAUGAGCCUAAGUCGGAUUAGCUAGUUGGUGGGGUAAAGGCCUACCAAGGCGACGAUCCGUAGCUGGUCUGAGAGGAUGAUCAGCCACAUCGGGACUGAGACACGGCCCGAACUCCUACGGGAGGCAGCAGUGGGGAAUAUUGGACAAUGGGGGCAACCCUGAUCCAGCCAUGCCGCGUGUGUGAAGAAGGCUUUCGGGUUGUAAAGCACUUUCAGCGAGGAGGAAGGCCUUAAAGUUAAUACCUUUAAGGAUUGACGUUACUCGCAGAAGAAGCACCGGCUAACUCCGUGCCAGCAGCCGCGGUAAUACGGAGGGUGCAAGCGUUAAUCGGAAUUACUGGGCGUAAAGCGCGCGUAGGUGGUUUGGUAAGCGAGAUGUGAAAGCCCCGGGCUUAACCUGGGAACGGCAUUUCGAACUGUCAGACUAGAGUGUGGUAGAGGGUAGUGGAAUUUCCUGUG